rnacentral:rRNA from 1 species
ACCGGUUUUGGGGGGGGGGGGCGAUUGAGGAACAAAAGGGAAGGGGAGUUUUCCUUUUGGGGAAGGGGGGAAGUUAACGUUCCCGAAUGGAAAGUUGGGCUUCUUGGGGCCCGAACUAAUCCCCGGGGCCCCCAGUAAAUAAGGUUCGGGCCCCACCGGGCCGGGUUAUGACCACCAAACUCAAGCUACAAACGGACCUUGGGUGGCCCCCUGGGUGGAACGGGGCAGCUGCGUCAACUCGGUGUAGAGUGGGUAAUCCCCAAGAGCGCACCUUUCCUUGUGCCACAUCCCUCGGGGGAUGGGACUCACAGGAGACCCCGGGUCAACUCGGGGAAGGGGGGACGACGUCAAGUCAUCAUGCCCCUUAUUUUUGGGCUGCACACGUGCUACAAUGGCCGGUACAAAGAGCUGCGAUGCCGCGAGGCGGAGCGAAUCUCAAAAAGCCGGUCUCAGUUCGGAUUGGGGUCUGCAACUGGACCCCAUGAAGUCGGAGUUGCUAGUAAUCGCAGAUCAGCAUUGCUGCGGUGAAUACGUUCCCGGGCCUUGUACACACCGCCCGUCACGUCACGAAAGUCGGUAACACCCGAAGCCGGUGCCCAACCCCUUGUGGGAGGGAGCUGUCGAAGGUGGGACUGGCGAUGGACGAAGUACGACCUCACAACUAAGC